ACACGUUUGAUGUUUAGGCGAGGGCAUUGAAUGGCAUACAUUCGGAAUUUGGCGUACAGAACAAGAAUGUUCGAAUUACAACAGACAAUGGGUCAAAUUUCUUAAAGGAAACCAGGUGGAAUUCCUUGUUUCUCGCCGUUGAGAGAAUCCUUCGUAUCAUUAAAGAGCAGAGAGAGGGGGCCAUCAGAACUGUAUGCUCUUCACUCAAGUUGCCCAUGUUGAGAUGGCCUUUCUGGAAGACCAUGCCAGAACCAUGAGACCAGUCGCCAAUCAGAGACAUGCUGGUAGAGCCUGAGUUUAUUGCUGCUGCAGUCCUUGUCCUGAAAUUCAAAACAUCCUGGACAUCAGAUGAAAACAUUGUCAAACCAGGCCUGGACUACAUCAAGGACCAUCUGGAGGAAGAGGCUUCGAAUCAGUCACCGGUUGAUGGUUCCAGUGCGUCUGAUGAUGAGGACUUUUUUUGCAAGCAUGAAGCCUACUCAUGGUCAGGAAGGUAUCCAGCAGUUAGAUGGCUACCUUGCCUGCGAAGCUGAUGACAAAGAAAUUCUGAAGUCCUUCAGGCCAUCUGCAGAUUGUCUUUGAAGGUCAAUACUGCUUUAUGUGC